UCCCUUUGGAUGCAUCCACGGAUUUCCCACAGUGGGGGUGGGGGCCGGGCUGUCCCACUCUGUGGCCCCCACACGUCCCCCCCGUGUGGUCACCUCUCGAGCGUGGGUUUAAGUCACCGUGAGAGUCUCUGCGAGUCUGACUCAAAACAUUCCCCGGCUGAAUUCUCUUCUUCCCCAGACCUGCCAUGGUGACUUCGGAAGCGUUCACAAGUUCUGUGAGUCCACGUCCAUCAAGAAGGGAAACUGAUCCCUGCCCUACUGAAUACGGUGACUGGAUUCCAGGGAACAGACGCGGAGGCCGUGCUGUGUUGCUGCUGGGGCUGGGGCAUAAAGGCCACGUGGCUUCUCAGCGUGUCUGUGCAGCCCGGGGCCACCACACCAAAGCCUGGGAAACAUUUUUGACCCCAUCUUUCUGCACACGUCACCACUAGUAUGUCACGGAAUACUUGGGCUCGUCCUUCAAGUCCACCCCAAACCCAGCCACCUCGCAGGGCCUGCAGGGCCGACAGCUGGUCCGAGCCCCAUCGCGUCCUGCCCCGGAGCACGGCAGUGGCCUCCUACCUGUACCAGUGUCUUGCUCCCUCCUUCCCUGGCUUAUUCUCAACACAGCACGUGACAUUUCCUGCCGACAGGGCCAGGCCUCCUCGAACGUUCCCGCCUCCUGCGGAUCCUGGCCUCCCUUCUCCGGACCUCGGGCUCUACAGGCCGGUCCUCAGGCCUCUGCGUCCUCCAGGCACCCGCGGGACUCACUCGUCCACACCGUGCCUUCAGCCAUCGUUCCCUCCAGGUGUGCACACGCGUGUUCACUUCUUCACCGCGUCCUGGUGACGCUUUGCAGGCGGAGUGGGCAGCCGGCCACGUUUGCUCACACCUGGGUUGCCUUUAAUUUCCAGAAUUU